rnacentral:rRNA from 1 species
GGGUUGUGAGGUUAAGCGACUAAGCGUACACGGUGGAUGCCCUGGCAGUCAGAGGCGAUGAAGGGCGUGCUAAUCUGCGAUAAGCGCCGGUAAGGUGAUAUGAACCGUUAUAACCGGCGAUACCCGAAUGGGGAAACCCAGUGUGAUUCGUCACACUAUCAUUAACUGAAUCCAUAGGUUAAUGAGGCGAACCGGGGGAACUGAAACAUCUAAGUACCCCGAGGAAAAGAAAUCAACCGAGAUUCCCCCAGUAGCGGCGAGCGAACGGGGAGGAGCCCAGAGCCUGAAUCAGCAUGUGUGUUAGUGGAAGCGUCUGGAAAGGCGCGCGAUACAGGGUGACAGCCCCGUACACAAAAGCGCAUGUGUUGUGAGCUCGAUGAGUAGGGCGGGACACGUGGUAUCCUGUCUGAAUAUGGGGGGACCAUCCUCCAAGGCUAAAUACUCCUGACUGACCGAUAGUGAACCAGUACCGUGAGGGAAAGGCGAAAAGAACCCCGGCGAGGGGAGUGAAAAAGAACCUGAAACCGUGUACGUACAAGCAGUGGGAGCACAGGUUUACCUGUGUGACUGCGUACCUUUUGUAUAAUGGGUCAGCGACUUAUAUUCUGUAGCAAGGUUAACCGUAUAGGGGAGCCGGAGGGAAACCGAGUCUUAAUUGGGCGUUAAGUUGCAGGGUAUAGACCCGAAACCCGGUGAUCUAGCCAUGGGCAGGUUGAAGGUUGGGUAACACUAACUGGAGGACCGAACCGACUAAUGUUGAAAAAUUAGCGGAUGACCUGUGGCUGGGGGUGAAAGGCCAAUCAAACCGGGAGAUAGCUGGUUCUCCCCGAAAGCUAUUUAGGUAGCGCCUCGUGAAUUCAUCUCCGGGGGUAGAGCACUGUUUCGGCUAGGGGGCCAUCCCGGCUUACCAACCCGAUGCAAACUGCGAAUACCGGAGAAUGUUAUCACGGGAGACACACGGCGGGUGCUAACGUCCGUCGUGAAGAGGGAAACAACCCAGACCGCCAGCUAAGGUCCCAAAGUCAUGGUUAAGUGGGAAACGAUGUGGGAAGGCCCAGACAGCCAGGAUGUUGGCUUAGAAGCAGCCAUCAUUUAAAGAAAGCGUAAUAGCUCACUGGUCGAGUCGGCCUGCGCGGAAGAUGUAACGGGGCUAAACCAUGCACCGAAGCUGCGGCAGCGACGCUUAUGCGUUGUUGGGUAGGGGAGCGUUCUGUAAGCCUGUGAAGGUGUGUCGUGAGGCAUGCUGGAGGUAUCAGAAGUGCGAAUGCUGACAUAAGUAACGAUAAAGCGGGUGAAAAGCCCGCUCGCCGGAAGACCAAGGGUUCCUGUCCAACGUUAAUCGGGGCAGGGUGAGUCGACCCCUAAGGCGAGGCCGAAAGGCGUAGUCGAUGGGAAACGGGUUAAUAUUCCCGUACUUGGUGUUACUGCGAAGGGGGGACGGAGAAGGCUAUGUUGGCCGGGCGACGGUUGUCCCGGUUUAAGCGUGUAGGUGUGUGUUCCAGGUAAAUCCGGUUCACUUUAACACUGAGGCGUGAUGACGAGGCACUACGGUGCUGAAGCAACAAAUGCCCUGCUUCCAGGAAAAGCCUCUAAGCAUCAGGUAACAUCAAAUCGUACCCCAAACCGACACAGGUGGUCAGGUAGAGAAUACCAAGGCGCUUGAGAGAACUCGGGUGAAGGAACUAGGCAAAAUGGUGCCGUAACUUCGGGAGAAGGCACGCUGACACGUAGGUGAAGUGAUUUACUCACGGAGCUGAAGUCAGUCGAAGAUACCAGCUGGCUGCAACUGUUUAUUAAAAACACAGCACUGUGCAAACACGAAAGUGGACGUAUACGGUGUGACGCCUGCCCGGUGCCGGAAGGUUAAUUGAUGGGGUCAGCGCAAGCGAAGCUCCUGAUCGAAGCCCCGGUAAACGGCGGCCGUAACUAUAACGGUCCUAAGGUAGCGAAAUUCCUUGUCGGGUAAGUUCCGACCUGCACGAAUGGCGUAAUGAUGGCCAGGCUGUCUCCACCCGAGACUCAGUGAAAUUGAACUCGCUGUGAAGAUGCAGUGUACCCGCGGCAAGACGGAAAGACCCCGUGAACCUUUACUAUAGCUUGACACUGAACAUUGAGCCUUGAUGUGUAG